rnacentral:lncRNA from 10 species
CUAAAGUGUAAGACAAAGUUCCUUUUACUUUUCCCUCUAUUUUUCUCAAGCAGAAGGAGUCUCAUUCCAUAGCCAACACAGUUGGGAAUGUGCUGAGUGUCACCUGAAGCCAGUAAGUCUCAGAGUCUCACCCAAGGCCCUCAACAUAUUACCUGGGUAUCACCACUGGUUAUUCUGGGCUCAAUUUCUGUUAAAAUUUCACCAUGACAAUGUAACUCCAUAGCUCAUUGACAGGUGCAAUCACUCCCCUGCCCACGUGACACAAAUUCAACCCAUACUUUUAUAUACGAUUAAUCUAUCCUACAUCAUUAACCGUGUUUCCAACAAACAUUAACAUAAAAACAAAAUGACAGCUCACAAAUUUAAAACAUUCUUUCUACUGUGAAUCCCCAAAAUUUGAGACAAAUCUGUCAGAUGGGUGGAUUACAAAAUUUUUCUC